AUUGAACGCUGGCGGCAGGCCUAACACAUGCAAGUCGAGCGGAUGAAGGGAGCUUGCUCCUGGAUUCAGCGGCGGACGGGUGAGUAAUGCCUAGGAAUCUGCCUGGUAGUGGGGGAUAACGUCCGGAAACGGGCGCUAAUACCGCAUACGUCCUGAGGGAGAAAGUGGGGGAUCUUCGGACCUCACGCUAUCAGAUGAGCCUAGGUCGGAUUAGCUAGUUGGUGGGGUAAAGGCCUACCAAGGCGACGAUCCGUAACUGGUCUGAGAGGAUGAUCAGUCACACUGGAACUGAGACAGGGCCCAGACUCCUACGGGAGGCAGCGGUGGGGAAUUGUGGACAUGGGGCGAAGGCUUGAUCCAGCCAUGCGGGGUGUGUGAAGGGGGUCUUGGGAUUGAAAAGAAUUUUAAGUUGGGAGGAAGGGCAGUAAGUUAAUACCUUGUUGUUUGGACGUUACCAAAAAAAUAAGCCCCGGCUAACUUCGUG
rnacentral:rRNA from 1 species